AGGAUAUUGCUUUGAAAACGAACAUUUAUGAGCAGUUACAUAGGACCCUGGAUGGGGGGAUGUCUCUGGUCUGGGAAAUUUGGGAAUUGGGCACAAAGUUACGCUCAAGUUUCUUGAGAUUUCAUGGCUUUAAUUUAAAGGCGUUGUUACCGUCAGGAGCUGUGCAAGUUGAUGUGUGAGCGGCUGAAACUCAGCACGUGGAAGGUGCAGCUCGGAGUCCUACAGUCGAUGAAUGCCUUUUUUCAGGGAUUAAUGCUUUUGGAAGAAGAACAUGCAGAUCCUGAGGCUUUGGCUGAAAUUCUUCUCGAAACUUGUAAAUCAAUCACAUAUUCUUU